AUACGUAGGGUGCGAGCGUUGUCCGGAAUUACUGGGCGUAAAGAGCUCGUAGGUGGUUUGUCGCGUCGUCUGUGAAAUUCCGGGGCUUAACUCCGGGCGUGCAGGCGAUACGGGCAUAACUUGAGUACUGUAGGGGAGACUGGAAUUCCUGGUGUAGCGGUGAAAUGCGCAGAUAUCAGGAGGAACACCGGUGGCGAAGGCGGGGCUCUGGGCAUUAACUGACGCUGAGGAGCGAAAGCAUGGGUAGCGAACAGGAUUAGAUACCCUGGUAGUCCAUGCCGUAAACGGUGGGCGCUAGGUGUAGGGGUCUUCCACGACUUCUGUGCCGUAGCUAAAGCAUUAAGCGCCCCGCCUGGGGAGUACGGCCGCAAGGCUAAAACUCAAAGGAAUUGACGGGG
rnacentral:rRNA from 1 species